rnacentral:rRNA from 1 species
AGCAGUCGCCGCGGGAAUACGGAGGGUGCAAGCGUUAUCCGGAUUUAUUGGGUUUAAAGGGUCCGUAGGCGGACUUAUAAGUCAGUGGUGAAAGCCUGUCGCUUAACGAUAGAACUGCCAUUGAUACUGUAAGUCUUGAGUAUAUUUGAGGUAGCUGGAAUAAGUAGUGUAGCGGUGAAAUGCAUAGAUAUUACUUAGAACACCAAUUGCGAAGGCAGGUUACCAAGAUAUAACUGACGCUGAGGGACGAAAGCGUGGGUAGCGAACAGGAUUAGAUACCCCAGUAGUCCCUGUCUCUUAUAC